ACGAACGCUGGCGGCGUGGAUUAGGCAUGCAAGUCGAACGGAACUUCUAGCUUUUUCGGAAGUUUAGUGGCGAAAGGGUGAGUAACACGUGGGUUACCUGCCCUAGGGUUCGGGAUAACCUGUCGAAAGACGGGCUAAUACCGGAUACGUCCUGCACUUUUCGAAGUGCAGGGGAAAGAUGGGGAUCCGUAAGGACCCAUCACCCUUGGAUGGGCCCGCGGCCUAUCAGCUAGUUGGUGAGGUAAUGGCUCACCAAGGCUAAGACGGGUAGCUGGUCUGAGAGGAUGGUCAGCCACACUGGAACUGAGACACUGUCCAGACACCUACGGGUGGCUGCAGUCGAGAAUCUUUCGCAAUGGGGGAAACCCUGACGACGCGACGCCGCGUGGAGGAUGACGGCCUUCGGGUUGUAAACUCCUGUCAGUGGGGAAGAGAUAGGACGGUACCCACUGAGGAAGCUUCGGCUAACUACGU
rnacentral:rRNA from 1 species